rnacentral:lncRNA from 1 species
GGUCAAAAUCUCAGAAACACUGAUCUGCAAAAUUUCCUGAUGCAGACCCUAAACUUUGAAAAAUCAUAAUUUCAUCGUCCAAAUCGUUUUCAAGUGAUUCAAAAUCUGGAAUGAACCUUAAGAUGUCUACUACAAAUCUCUUGAAGAAACCAACUUCAAAUUCCAAAUGAAAUUGUACUGUUUUCAAACGAAAGCUAACUGAUGCAGAAUUUCAGAAACAAUGUUUCAGAUUUGCAGGUUUUGUUCUUGCCUUAAGUUUAAACACACAAACCUAACUCUAAAAGCUGGAGAAUAAUGCAAUCAAACAAAGGCCUUCGAACUGACUGAAAAUGAUAACCAAAGAAACCUAUACAUAUAUUACUGAUAGAUGUAAUAUGCUAAUGAAAUCAUCAAAUAAACUAUCACAGCUCUUAGAGCAAAUCAAGUUCAAAUCACAUAUGAGAAACACAUAUCAGAUCAUUAGAUAGAAGUAUUAAUCAAGCACAGAAAAGAAAUAUUAGUAUUAAUAUAUAAUUGCAUUAGCAAAGCAAUAGAAAGUGUAAAUAUGAUUUCGACACAGAACUGAUACAACUGAUGAUAACCAAAUUUAUGAAAGAGCUUUGACAUAAUCAAAUGUCUAACUAACCAAACACUAAAUUGCGUGUAUGAAACUGACUCCUAUAUAGUGUUAUACUGAAGAAGCAUAGCAUAUUAACAUUUGCUUACAACGAUUAUUACAUAACAGAAAACUUGCAUAUUUCUCAUAACGCAGCAACAAAGGUCAAAUUUUUUUUUUUGAAUCUGGUAAAUCUUACUAAUAAAAGAUGUUUGUGGGUACUGCUAUCUCUCCCCAAAUAAUAGUGGAUUGUGAAAUCAUCAGUAAGAUCAAAGCAUAUAUGUGAUAGCCUAUAACUCUGCAAAUACUAGUCCAACCAUGUCACUCAUCAGCUAUUCUUUUCAGCAAAAACCAGAGAUAAAAAAAAAUGGAUCAAGCAACAGAUGUAUACAAGUAAAAGAUAUAUACUCCAU